AUUGAACGCUGGCGGCAUGCUUUACACAUGCAAGUCGAACGGUAACAGGCCGCAAGGUGCUGACGAGUGGCGAACGGGUGAGUAAUGCAUCGGAACGUGCCCAGUCGUGGGGGAUAACUACUCGAAAGAGUAGCUAAUACCGCAUACGAUCUAUGGAUGAAAGCGGGGGACCGUAAGGCCUCGCGCGAUUGGAGCGGCCGAUGUCAGAUUAGGUAGUUGGUGGGGUAAAGGCUCACCAAGCCAACGAUCUGUAGCUGGUCUGAGAGGACGACCAGCCACACUGGGACUGAGACACGGCCCAGACUCCUACGGGAGGCAGCAGUGGGGAAUUUUGGACAAUGGGCGCAAGCCUGAUCCAGCAAUGCCGCGUGCAGGAAGAAGGCCUUCGGGUUGUAAACUGCUUUUGUACGGAACGAAACGGCUCUGGUUAAUACCCGGGGCUAAUGACGGUACCGUAAGAAUAAGCACCGGCUGACUACGUG
rnacentral:rRNA from 1 species